rnacentral:rRNA from 1 species
UACGAAGGGGGCUAGCGUUGCUCGGAAUCACUGGGCGUAAAGGGUACGUAGGCGGGUCUUUAAGUCAGGGGUGAAAUCCUGGAGCUCAACUCCAGAACUGCCUUUGAUACUGAAGAUCUUGAGUUCGGGAGAGGUGAGUGGAACUCCGAGUGUAGAGGUGAAAUUCGUAGAUAUUCGCAAGAACACCAGUGGCGAAGGCGGCUCACUGGCCCGAUACUGACGCUGAGGCACGAAAGCGUGGGGAGCAAACAGG